GCCCGGCUAGCUCAGUCGGUAGA
rnacentral:piRNA from 5 species